rnacentral:rRNA from 1 species
UGGGGAAUAUUGGACAAUGGGCGAAAGCCUGAUCCAGCCAUGCCGCGUGUGUGAAGAAGGUCUUCGGAUUGUAAAGCACUUUAAGUUGGGAGGAAGGGCAUUAACCUAAUACGUUAGUGUUUUGACGUUACCGACAGAAUAAGCACCGGCUAACUCUGUGCCAGCAGCCGCGGUAAUACAGAGGGUGCAAGCGUUAAUCGGAAUUACUGGGCGUAAAGCGCGCGUAGGUGGUUUGUUAAGUAGGAUGUGAAAUCCCCGGGCUCAACCUGGGAACUGCAUUCAAAACUGACUGACUAGAGUAUGGUAGAGGGUGGUGGAAUUUCCUGUGUAGCGGUGAAAUGCGUAGAUAUAGGAAGGAACACCAGUGGCGAAGGCGACCACCUGGACUAAUACUGACACUGAGGUGCGAAAGCGUGGGGAGCAAACA